AGGAAGACUCUGAGCCUUCAUCCCCUACGACCGCCCGAGACGGCCACGGGAGAGAAGCGCGCAGGCGGCAGAAGGCGUGUGCCGAGAUUGACAUCGAACACCGCCCAGUCUCGGGCGAGCCAGAGUGCCGUCCCUUUGGCCGUGGAGAGGAGAGGAGCAGAUGAAAGACUAAAGGCAUUGAAAAACCCCGAAUCCCAUCCGGAUGGAAGACACUCCUCUACCGGCCAGGCCAAGUCCGUUCCCGGAGCCCAGGGGAACCCAGGAACGGGGAGCAGGACCUGCGGCAGCGGGAUCCGCCAGGCAGGGGGAAACGGGGCACGGGAGUGGGAUGCCAUGUCUGCCCCACCCAGCCCAGGCGUGCCAAGGGUGGGUGCCCUGGCUCGAGGGCCACCAGGUCUCCUGUGUGGUGGGAGAUGGGAGCAGCUGGACCCCUGCACUGAUCAGCGAGGGGCCGCCUGCCACUGCCACCCCCUGUGACGGUGGGUUCCCCCAUCGCAGCCCAGCCCCAGCCCCGCGGAUCCCACCGAGGGAAGCAA